CUGCCUGCCGUGCUCCCCUCGCGACGGAAUGCGCGCCUCCGCCGCCGCCACCGUGCAGCGCGCGGGUUCUUCGCCGUUGUUGCUUCUGCUGCCGGUGCCAGCAGCCACGGGCGCGCUGCCGCUGCUGCGGCCGUAGCAGCGAUGGAGGGGAGAGGACUACUCCCGAUACAAUUAGGAGAGCGGCUCAUUUGCGCGCGCGAUCAAUGCGAGACGCGCAACACGAGACCUAAAUCACGCUCCUCGGCCCGCCGCCGCUCCUUGGAUCGUAGCAGACGAAAAAUGUGCAACCGCAUGCGUCCUGACAUCGUGAGCGCGCCGUACCACACCGGCGCGUCGUAAUGGAGCUCUGGGAUCGCAAAGCGAGGAAGGACCGGCCAUGACCCGAGGAGUAGCAGAGGCGCGCAGCAUUUCCUCACCUCGCUUUUUCUUACAUUUCGCCAGAUGCCAUUUGGAUGCUUGGUAUAUGCUUUGCUUCCACUUCGGAGCGCGGUGCGAGACCUCGCUGCCCUGGGGGCGAAACGGCGCGGUCGGUGACGCGUCGCGAUCAACGGCUGGCUGGCUGCUGCCCGACGAAGCGGCGGCUACGUGACAGCGCAGAGCAAGUGGCAGCUGGAUGGGCGCCCGGGAGAGUCACCGACAGCCGCGAACAAUGGCUCCUCUCGGGUGCGCAGUUGCCGUCGAGUUUCCUGUCCUCGGAACAGAGCUCUGCGUGGCUUGCUUCGAGUUGUAUUACCGAAAGGGGUCUCAACAUUGUGGAGAAGCGGGGGACUGUGUUUGCACCUACAUUUCCCACAGAUGUAAAGAAGAACCUUGCUGACCGGUUCCAGACAACCAGUGAGCACCAUGAUCACCAAGGCAGUCACUUAGUAGGCUGCCGACUGCCAUCGCAGAUCCACCGCGCCUCUUCUGGAGUUGUCUCGUACUGCUCCCAUCAAGGCGCCACUACCUGUCAACAGUGGGGUUGCAUCCAAGCUGCUCACCUGUCUGCCAUCUGUGGAUCUAUCGCCCGCACCGUAGUUCACUGUUGGACUUCACCGGGCAAAACCAACUAUAAAUGAGACUGUAGGAGACCUCCCACGUUCAGUAGAACCGGGGCUUACCCUGGGAUACUGUUUCCUGAUUGCCGUUGCCCUUGCUGCCCUCGUCGGCGUCUGCUUCGCUGGCGUCGUCUCCUACGGCGGCUACGGAGGUGG